rnacentral:rRNA from 1 species
CAGCCGCCGCGGGAAUACGAAGGGUGCAAGCGUUAAUCGGAAUUACUGGGCGUAAAGCGUGCGUAGGCGGUGAGUUAAGUCUGCUGUGAAAUCCCCGGGCUCAACCUGGGAAUGGCAGUGGAUACUGGCUCGCUAGAGUGUGUCAGAGGAUGGUGGAAUUCCCGGUGUAGCGGUGAAAUGCGUGGAGAUCGGGAGGAACAUCAGUGGCGAAGGCGGCCAUCUGGGACAACACUGACGCUGAGGCACGAAAGCGUGGGGAGCAAACAGGAUUAGAUACCCCCGUAGUCCCUGUCUCUUAUAU